GGGGUAGUGGGUUAAGUUCAGCACACAUGCAGCAGCACACCCUGCGGGAAGUGGCGGGGGUGGCGGGUAGACAGUCAGUGACACGCUUUCUUCGUGAGCAUACACAGAAGCAUGGUGUUGCACACGAGAGACUUUGAUCCUGGACAAUCUCAACUAUUCUUCCCAAGAAGAAAUCCCGAUCAAGUACAUUUGUCAUGUGAACAAGUAUAAUAAGAUUUCAAGGUUGUCCUGAGAUGAAAUUAUCUUACCCAAACUACACAUUACAUAAUACUGGAGGUUGUAUUUUUGGUG